CUCCAAAUGAGCAACCUCGUAACCUCAUUGCGCCAUUUAAUUAAAAACAAAAAAAGAGAAAAAAGAAAAAAAAAAGGAGAAAAAAAAGAAUUCCUCGUCACGUGCACGGUCUGAAACUGGACAGCGAUGGGUUAUUAUUAUUUUUUUUUUCCUCCCCACCUAUUUUGUUGCAUCCCUGGUUUUGCCCCAGCCCCUCUGUGCCCCCUCAGCCAUUCCCAGGAUGGAGAUGGAAUCUCAUGACCACCAGCCACACACGGAGACCUGGCCCUGUCCCUGCUGCCACCGCUGCUGCCCCGCGGCCACCGAGCUGAGCCCACCUCCAGCACACUCCUCCUUCCUCCUCUUCUCCUCUCCAGGAAGCGUUUGUUUGUUCCUAAGGAAAAAAAAAAUAGGAAAAAACUUGAAAUUCCUCAUGUCCAGCUUGAUGUGGAAGUCCCAGCAGUCCUGGAUCUGAAGCUUCUUGGAGGGGUUUUGUUGCCUUCCACUUCUUCCACUUCCACUUCUGUUUGGAUCAGCUCCAGCAAGGAGAUGCCAUGGCUAAUUCCAGAAUUUUCCAUGUUUCCUCCACUGAGUUUGCCUCAUUCCACGUUUUCCAAAGUGCUGACUCAAGGUCACACUGGGCAUCUCUUUGCCUUGUCUUAAAGGUGCUUCUAUUUUUGUAUGUUUGUGAGUAAAUAUUUGUAUCGUAUUUUAUUUGAAAUGUUGGAAUGUUUCCUCCUUCAAACCACACAAGUGACCUUGUCUGUAUUAAAGCCACCCCAUCCCAGCCAAGCUUCCAGCUGGGAAUGAAGACAGCAGCUCCUGUCCCCACUUCUGCCUCUUCCCUGCCCCAAACUGGGAUCUGGAGCCUUGGAAUUACCCCCAGGAUGAGGUCUCUCAGCUGGAAAAUAAUUAUUGCAAGGUGGGUUUUGUAUUUUUUUAAUUAUUAUUCUUUGGCCUGGAACGCUCAGCUCAAGGGGGAUUUUUCACCACGAAGGAAAAGACAUCACAUUUACUGUGAAAAAAGCCUAUAUAUGAUGUCUUUUCUCCCCUCCUGCCCAAAUUGA
rnacentral:lncRNA from 1 species